GAUGAACGCUGGCGGCGUGCUUAACACAUGCAAGUCGAACGGUGAACGAGGGAGCUUGCUCCCUCCGGAUCAGUGGCGAACGGGUGAGUAAUGCUUAGGAAUCUGCCUAUUAGUGGGGGACAACAUUUCGAAAGGAAUGCUAAUACCGCAUACGUCCUACGGGAGAAAGCAGGGGAUCUUCGGACCUUGUGCUACUAGAGCGGCCGAUGGCAGAUUAGGUAGUUGGUGGGAUAAAAGCUUACCAAGCCGACGAUCUGUAGCUGGUCUGAGAGGACGAUCAGCCACACUGGGACUGAGACACGGCCCAGACUCCUACGGGAGGCAGCAGUGGGGAAUUUUGGACAAUGGGCGCAAGCCUGAUCUAGCAAUGCCGCGUGCAGGAUGAAGGCCUUCGGGUUGUAAACUGCUUUUGUACGGAACGAAAAGCCCUGGGUUAAUACCCUGGGGUCAUGACGGUACCGUAAGAAUAAGCACCGGCUAACUACGUGCCAGCAGCCGCGGUAAAAC
rnacentral:rRNA from 1 species